GAUGAACGCUGGCGGCGUGCCUAAUACAUGCAAGUCGAGCGAACAGACGAGGAGCUUGCUCCUCUGACGUUAGCGGCGGACGGGUGAGUAACACGUGGAUAACCUACCUAUAAGACUGGGAUAACUUCGGGAAACCGGAGCUAAUACCGGAUAAUAUAUUGAACCGCAUGGUUCAAUAGUGAAAGACGGUUUUGCUGUCACUUAUAGAUGGAUCCGCGCCGCAUUAGCUAGUUGGUAAGGUAACGGCUUACCAAGGCAACGAUGCAUAUCCGACCUGAGAGGGUGAUCGGCCACACUGGAACUGAGACACGGUCCAGACUCCUACGGGAGGCAGCAGUAGGGAAUCUUCCGCAAGGGGCGGAAGCUUGACGGAGCAACGCCGCGGGAGUGAUGAAAUUCUUCGGAUCUUAAAACUCUUUUAUUAGGUAAGAACAAAUGUGUAAGUAACUAUGCACGUCUUGACGGUACCUAAUCAGAAGGCCACGGCUAACUAGGUG
rnacentral:rRNA from 1 species